rnacentral:rRNA from 1 species
UACGGAGGGUGCGAGCGUUGUCCGGAAUCACUGGGCGUAAAGGGCGCGUAGGCGGUUCGCCAAGUGGAUGGUGAAAUCCCGGGGCUCAACUCCGGGGCUGCCGGUCAGACUGGCGGACUCGAGCACGGUAGAGGCGGAUGGAAUUCCCGGUGUAGCGGUGGAAUGCGUAGAUAUCGGGAAGAAUACCGGUGGCGAAGGCGUUCCGCUGGGCCGUUGCUGACGCUGAGGCGCGACAGCGUGGGGAGCAAACAGG